rnacentral:misc_RNA from 1 species
GAUGAAGAACGCAGUGAAAUGCGAUAAGUAGUGUGAAUUGCAGAAUUCAGUGAAUCAUCGAAUCUUUGAACGCACAUUGCGCCCCUUGGUAUCCCGAGGGGCAUGCCUGUUCGAGCGUCAUUUCACCACUCAAGCCUGGCUUGGUGUUGGGCGACGUCCUCUUUGGGGACGCGCCUCGAAACGCUCGGCGGCGUGGCACCGGCUUUAAGCGUAGCAGAAUCUUUCGCUUUGGAAGUCGGGGCCCCGUCUGCCGGAAGACCUGCUCGCAAGGUUGACCUCGGAUCAGGGAGGGAUACCCGCUGAACUUAAGCAUAUCAAUAAGCGGAGGA